rnacentral:tRNA from 1 species
GGAGAAGUCGCCUAGUUUGGUCGAGGGCGCGCGACUGGAAAUCGCGUAGGCGCCACAAGCGUCUCGAGGGUUCGAAUCCCUCCUUCUCCGCCA